GUGACCUCGAAUCAGG
rnacentral:rRNA from 1 species